UAAGUACAGAGCACAUCCAGGUACUCAGCACAUCCCCUCAUCUCGGGUUAUUCCAAAGGGAAUAUGAGCUGUAACAGUGCUCCUGAGGGCAGGGAAGGCAGGAGAGCUCCCAACCAACAGAGUUCUCUGACCGUAGCCAGCUCUCAGUGGCUGGGAGACACUUACACCAGGAGAGCAAAAACCAGCUGCUGGUUUACUGGGAGCACCAGCAAGCAUAUAUUCCUUUUAAAUAUUCCUCACCCACCUACCUGCCUGAGGGGUUUUCCCUCAUUCCUGCACCUGCCUUUUUCUACACACAGCUGCAACUGUGCUGCUGGGUUGGGAUGUUAUGGAUAAACACACUUGGGUUCUACCUCCCCCUGGCAUGUCUUGUGGGGCAUUUUAAGAGAACCGGGUACCAAGUGGCACAGAGAAUUUACCCAGUGGGGUAAAUCCCACUGCACAGGUAUCCUGGUGCUUUUUGGGCUGGCUGCCUGCUCUGCUCCUGUCCUUACUUUAAUGAAUGAGAUUGUGGGUAAGAUUACAAGUGUCAGGGGGCGGAAUUUUGGUUGAAGUAUUUUUCUUGUGAUUUCAAAUAUUUAAUGCACACUGCUCUUUCUUCCUCUUGAAGCAGAUGGAAAGUUUAGUAAACACAAAGCUUCUACUAAACCAAAACACUUACAGGCCACAGGCCAGAACUGAUCCCUCCUGAGAGACAGAGCAGGCAUUUUAAACUGCCUAUUUCCAAAGUGAUGGGGGAUUUUGUAAUAACAGAAAUCCGCUUCGGUGACACAACGCCAGAACAGCUUCUGAAACGCCUUUCAAUCAUUUCAAAUGGAGUCUGGAUCCAAAGGGAGGCAGUUUAAUCCCAGGAGAGCCUGAUCUGCUGUGCUAAGUUAUGAAGAUCAAGUCAGGCUGUCCCUGGACUGCACACUCGGUGACCUCAGCUUCACCAGCAGCACAGGCUGUUUCCUGAGCGUCAUGAGCUGAUGGAAAACCCCACCGCCUGCAGCGGGAACAAACCCCCGAGAUGGAAUCAGCCAGCUGGAAAGAACGUUCAGAAUUACAUCCCCAAAAACAGGCAUUCAAAUAGCUUGGGAACCCUUUGCCACCCAGCACUCCACAGCCUAGGGAAGUGCAGGUUUUGAAAACCAGCCUCCUAAGUUUUACAUGGAUAAGCAGCAAAGUGCACACGAGGAAGAGGCAGAAUCCCAGAG